rnacentral:rRNA from 1 species
GAUGAACGCUAGCGGGAGGCUUAACACAUGCAAGUCGAGGGGCAGCACGAGGUAGCAAUACUUUGGUGGCGACCGGCGCACGGGUGAGUAACGCGUAUGCAACCUACCCUGUACAGGGGGAUAACCCGGAGAAAUUCGGACUAAUACCCCAUAAAGAUAUUUAGAGGCAUCUUUGAAUAUUUAAAGUUCCGGCGGUACGGGAUGGGCAUGCGUAACAUUAGCUAGUUGGUAAGGUAACGGCUUACCAAGGCAACGAUGUUUAGGGGUCCUGAGGGGGUGAUCCCCCACACUGGUACUGAGACACGGACCAGACUCCUACGGGAGGCAGCAGUGAGGAAUAUUGGUCAAUGGGCGCAAGCCUGAACCAGCCAUCCCGCGUGAAGGAAGAAUGCGCUAUGCGUUGUAAACUUUUUUUCCAGGGGAAUAAAAUUUCGUACGUGUACGGAAUUGAAGGUACCCUGGGAAUAAGCAUCGGUUAACUCCGUGCCAGCAGCCGCGGUAAUAC